rnacentral:snRNA from 1 species
GGAUGUGAGGGCGAUCUGGCUGCGACAUCUGUCACCCCAAUGAUCGUCAAGGUUGAUUCGGCUGAUCUGGCUGGCUAGGCGGGUGUCGCUUUCCUCUCUCACGGCUCUACGUAGUACUCCCGAAGCUGCGCGCUGGGUGGAGGAGGACGACCUUCCCCGAUAGAGGGUAUACGAGUCAAGGGUAUACGAGUAGCUGUGCUCCCCUGCUAGAACCUCCAAACAAGCUCUCAAGAAUUUCUAACUGAAAAACAUUUCCUCAAAGUGGCUUUCGAAUGAAAACAAAUACUUCAUGGGUGGUAAAAAAAAACUCUAUGUGAAUAAUU